UACGGGGGGAGCAAGCGUUGUUCGGAUUUACUGGGCGUAAAGGGCGCGUAGGCGGUCGUGACAAGUCACUUGUGAAAUCUCCGGGCUUAACUCGGAACGGUCAAGUGAUACUGUCAGACUAGAGUACAGAAGGGGCAACUGGAAUUCUCGGUGUAGCGGUGAAAUGCGUAGAUAUCGUCUGGAACGCCAAAGGUGAAAACAGACUGCUGGGAGUGUGCUGACGCUGAGACACGAAGCCAGGGGAGCAAACGGG
rnacentral:rRNA from 1 species